UACGUAGGGUGCAAGCGUUAUCCGGAAUCACUGGGCGUAAAGCGUGCGUAGGCGGAAGUUUAAGUGAGGUGUUAAAUCGUGUGGCUCAACCAUAUCGAUGCAUCUCAUACUGGGCUUCUAGAGGAUGGCAGAGGCAAGUGGAAUUGGUAGUGUAGCAGUGAAAUGCGUAGAUAUUACCAGGAACACCAAUGGCGAAGGCAGCUUGCUGGGCCACACCUGACGCUGAGUCACGAAAGCGUGGGGAGCGAACAGG
rnacentral:rRNA from 1 species